rnacentral:lncRNA from 1 species
AAAAGGAAGUAGAAAUGAGAUGAAAACGGGGGUGGGGGUGGGAGUGGAGUGGGUCCUUUCCUGCUUUGAAAAACUUGUUGUUAAGGUUGCCGACAGCAUAUCUUGGGUGUAGAUUUCUCUAACAAACGCAAAGGUGCAUUCAUCAUCACUAUAUAUGUAAUGUAAUGUAAUGUAUGUAGGUAUAAUAAGCUUUUGCUCGCUUUUUUUUUUUUGUUUUUAUUAUCUCCUUUCAAAUGUAGACGUAGUCCUUUGACAUGGGAUUCCACCCGUGCUGUAGAGGUAACUCAUUAUUUUUUAGGUGAAAUUAUGACGAUAUGGAUAUUUUUCUUAGUAAGAAUUAUUGUAGUA